CCUACGGGUGGCAGCAGUGAGGAAUAUUGGUCAAUGGACGAGAGUCUGAACCAGCCAAGUAGCGUGAAGGAUGACUGCACUAUGGGUUGUAAACUUCUUUUAUAUGGGAAUAAAAUGUUCCACGUGUGGGAUUUUGUAUGUACCAUAUGAAUAAGGAUCGGCUAACUCCGUGCCAGCAGCCGCGGUAAUACGGAGGAUCCGAGCGUUAUCCGGAUUUAUUGGGUUUAAAGGGAGCGUAGGUGGAUUGUUAAGUCAGUUGUGAAAGUUUGCGGCUCAACCGUAAAAUUGCAGUUGAAACUGGCAGUCUUGAGUACAGUAGAGGUGGGCGGAAUGCGUGGUGUAGCGGUGAAAUGCUUAGAUAUCACGAAGAACUCCGAUUGCGAAGGCAGUUCACUGGACUGCAACUGACACUGAGGCUCGAAAGUGUGGGUAUCAAACAGGAUUAGAUACCCCAGUAGUC
rnacentral:rRNA from 1 species